rnacentral:rRNA from 1 species
UACGUAGGGGGCAAGCGUUGUCCGGAAUCAUUGGGCGUAAAGCGCGUGUAGGCGGCUCGGUAAGUCUGCUCUGAAAGCCCGGGGCUCAACCCUGGGAGGCGGGUGGAUACUGCUGAGCUCGAGUCCGGAAGAGGCGAGUGGAAUUCCUGGUGUAGCGGUGAAAUGCGCAGAUAUCGUCAAGAACACCUAUAGCGAAGGCAGCUUACUAGGCUGUAACUGACGCUGAGGCACGAAAGUGUGGGGAUCAAACAGG